UGGGGAGUCGUCCAACGGCAGGACACGUGGCUCUGGACCACGGAAUCGGGGUUCGAAUCCCUGCUCCCCAGCUA
rnacentral:tRNA from 1 species